UACGUAGGGGGCAAGCGUUAUCCGGAUUUACUGGGUGUAAAGGGAGCGUAGACGGCGAUGCAAGCCAGAUGUGAAAGCCCGGGGCCCAACCCCGGGACUGCCCUUGGAACUGUGCGGCUGGAGUGCGGGAGGGGCAGGCGGAAUUCCUGGUGUAGCGGUGAAAUGCGUAGAUAUCAGGAGGAACACCGGCGGCGAAGGCGGCCUGCUGGACCGCGACUGACGUUGAGGCUCGAAAGCGUGGGGAGCGAACAGG
rnacentral:rRNA from 1 species